CUUUUAUAGGUGGAUAUACACCGUCUCGAAGAGAAAUACGGAGAAUUUAAUGAUAAAAUUGUGCUUGUUGUGGGUUGAAGGAGUAAAGAUAGUUCUUAAUGGAGAUGAAUUGAUGAAUCCGGUAACGUUUGGACGAGAAGAAUAUCAGACGAACCGACACGAACGGCUCAACCCAGAUGUUACUCACGAAGAAGAAUCAUUCCACACAACCUCCUAAAACUCCAUUAAUGGCGAUGGAUUCGUCUGAUGAUAAACCCUAGAUUGACGAAUUAAGAUAGAAGAAGACGUUGAACGAACAUCUUGAAGAAUAUGAUGAUUUCCUUUCAAUUGGGUUGGCCUUUUUUCACAAAUAAAAAUAUCUACAGAGCAAUCCCAAAUAAUAUAAAUGAGAAAGCCCGUACACAAUGAAAACAAAACAAAGCCCAUCAAACUGGUUUUAGUGAAGCGAUGUGUUUUGUCUAACCGGGACACGUGUCGCUUCGACAGAAGCCGACUUAGUGACCUGGAAUCCUAGGUGGUACAUCCAGGAGAGAGACCAACAUAUUUAUAUAUAUAUAUAUAGAUAUUUUCUUAUUUAAAUUUUCAAGUUUAUUUAUUUAACCUUUUUGUAAAACUAAAUGUAAAAAAUGUAAUAUUAUAUAUACUUUUAUAUUGUAUAUUUUUGAAUUUAUUUAUUUAAAUAUUUAUAUGAAAUGAUAAUAUUACAUUAAGGACAGUUACUAAAAAAAUGUCACGUGACUUCUUAUGGGAGAAUGAUUUUUUGCUUAUGUUGACGCUUUGUGGAGCUUCAAAAGGUCUAUUUUAUUAGUAUAGAUUUUUUCUUGUUUGAGGGGAAAAUGAGUUUUUAUUUUUUUUUCUUAAUAAAAAUGCAAAUUAGAGGAAAGUAUAGGAAACAAAAUUUAUAUUUAAAUUUUUUGAUGGGAUAUUUUGAAAGUCUCAGAGAUAAAGAAUGUUCCCUUCCUCUUUUUUUUUCUUUUUCUUUCUAUUACUUUGGGAAACUUUAUGUGAUUCUCAGUCAUUUUGAAUGUUUUUUUGCCACAAAAAAAAUGAAUGUACUUUGGUGUUUUUCAGUUUGGAAGAUGAAUAAUAAUUUUUUUUUUAAUUAUACAUUUGGCAAAAAAUAAUUCUAGGAAUCAGGAUAUAUCCAAAUAUUUCUAUAUCAGGAAUUGAUUGUACUAUUGGAAUAUCUAUCUACAGUGGAAGCUCCCUUGGUCCAAAUGUUUGAUUAAAGGUUCAUUAAUGCUUCAACACCAGGAGAUCUGGAGUUCAAACCCCAGAAAAUGCAAAUUAUGCAGAUUAUAGAGAAAAAAUGUUACAAGAGGUCUUCAGCAUGGUGUAGGACGUAUCAUCGAAUAUGGAUCUCAUAGGGCGGCUCGGAGUGAUGCAGUCUGACAUGGAUAUGAUGAUAGAAUUGUCGGCUGUAAAAUCGUCUAUGUAAUAUUUCUCAUCGUUGUAAUAGCAUAAUUAAUCAGGCGUUAAAAAAAAUAUCUAUCUACAACUGUAUUUUUGCAUGAGAUUUCAAUCAUAAUUGCUAUUUUUACUUUAUACAUAAUGCCCAAUUAAUACAUUAUUUUUAAGAAAAGAAAAAGUUUCAUAAUUUUAUUUAUUUACAAACUGAUCUACUUCGAUGGUUUACUCCAAAAAACCAUAUAUAGACUUUGACUUCUAUUUUAAAAAUUAAGGUGAAUUUCAGAAUAAUGUUGGAAAUGAAUAAAUUCCAUUGGAAUGAACGCAAAAUUCUAAGGCGGAUUGUUUAGCAUACAGUGUAAGGAUGCAAUUGUCUUUCAUCAUUCACCUGGAUGUGGAGUUCCCGGUAGAAUCAGUAGGAUUAUAUUUAUGUUGAUGAAAAAAAAAAUUCCGUUGGAUGAUUCUUGAUUAUAGUCUAUAAUAAUAGUAUUGUUGCUAAAUGCUAAUCAUUGAAGUAAUAGCGCGUUAAACCAUAAAGAGAAUUUUUAUGGUAUGGUGUCUACUCUACGAUGAUCUAGAGCUCUGCUGAACUGUUGGUGGGACAUACCGUACUUUGGUAGACCGUAGAUGUCAUCUAUGAACUGUAUUUUAAUCAGACAGAGAACAUAUGCAUGAAAGUUAGAACACUAUGCAAACAACUAGAGCGUUUUUUUUUAGCGUCUUUUACAAUUUAAUAAUAAGUAGAUUUAUUAUCAAAUUUUAAUAAGGGAAGAAAUAAAAAUCCAUUCACCGUAUGAAAUUGUGUUCCUACGUCCUCGUUCUGUAUAAAAAAUUGAUCAGGUUAGUAUCAGAGCAAAAGAUCCAUCCAUACCCCACACAUGACCACCAUCAUACCUUGCGCCAAGAAAGAAAUGCAAGCUGAAAUCCAGCAACGAACUAUAGAAGAGAUGCAUACACAAAUUCCUCAACUUACUCAAGCUAUGCAAGGUAUGAUCUUCCAAAGAAACGAUGCGCUUGCUGAGGAACACGAUGAAGAGCAGUCCGACCAUGACGACGAUGCUAACCCGUUUGAUGUUCUCAGAGGAAAUCAAAACGUAGCUCAACCCGUACAACUCAAUGAAUGAUGAAAUCAGAGUUUCAAGUUCGAGAUUCCGAAAUUUCAUGGAACCAAGUAGCUGAAGAACCCCUCGACUGGAUAGCUACGGUUGAUGAGAUACUAGAAUUCAAUCAAGUCCCGCUGGAGCGUUGUGUCCCCGUACUUUCAAUGCGAUUUCGAAGCAGAGCAACUGCAUGGUAGACUCAGCUUAAAACGUCCAGAUAGAGUUAAGAAAGGAUUGAACGAUUGAAAGUGGAUCAGAAACGGAGAUUUGCAUUAAUCAAUAGGCAACGACGACGGAGAAGUGGAAGAAGAGAAACAUAAAGUAAAAAAAAAAAAAUUCUGAUUGGAGGAUUAUUUAUGCUGACGUGGACAUGCUAGAAUUGGAGAUUAUCUCCCUUUUAGUAUUGUAUAGAUUGCUCUAUGAAUAAUGAAAACGCACUUCAAAAUUGUUACGUUUGUCGAAAGUAAGGCUCCGAAUGGUAACUGCGGUUUGAGCGGUGCGGGACAAGCGGUUUAACUGCAGUGCGCUUUUAACAGUUAUAAAAAUGUAUAAAUAUAUGGUAUUGUUACUGUUAACUGCGGUGCGGAGCGGGGCGGUUCGUAACAUUCGAAACCUAAAUAUACACCCAGAUAUAAGAAAAAUCUCAAACUUGUAAAACAAUAUACUAAAGAUGAUUUACCGAAAUUAAUAAAAGAAAAUACAUAUUGAUUUCAUUUAAACCUUACUAGGUGGUUGCCCGCGAAUUCGCAGGUAUAAAUAAUUUUUAAAGUUUGAUACAUAUAAUAUUAAUUAUGUUUUUGACACACUAUAAUAUAUUUUUACUUUUCAAAUUUGAAUAUGAAUUUUAUUUGAUAUAUAUUCUCUAAAUAAACAGAUUUAUAUCUUUUGGUAUUUUACUUUAAAAAUAUAUAAAUACGACUUUUGUAAUAUUUUAUUAGAUUUUUUUAUCAACAACUAUAGUAAAAUGGUUAUUGUAUACUGCAAUUUAAUUUAUCUAUAGUCUUAUUAUAUAUUAUGUACUCUGAUUUCCAAAUGUAAUUAAUUUAAUAUUAACUUAAUUUUAUUCAUCCCAAUAAUAUUUGCUAAAAAUAAUAUAUACGAUAACAUAAAUAAUAUUUUCUAAAAUGAUAUGUAGACGACAAUAAUUUCUGAGAUCACAAAAUAAUUUGAUUGGCUAAUAUGGCUAGAAAUAAUUCACCAUGUUGAUUAUUUAGUGUUAAAUAUGCAAGAAUUGGAUACAAAUAACCAAAACGUUUUGGUUAGUGGAAAGUUCAGAGAAAUUAUAAACAAUAGUCAAUGAAAUAAUUUAGAUAAAUUAAAACAGUUAGAUGUGUAUGAAAUAAUUACUAAAUUUGCAGCAAAUAGUGAUUUUGCAGUAAAUAAACAUUAUAUUUACAACCUCAAAUCUCUUAAACAAUCUUUAUUAAAAGGUAUGAAAUAAUUUAGCAGCUUUCGCAGUAAAUAGUAAUUUUAAACAUUUUUUUAUAGAGAAAGAGCUUUUUGAUUUUUAUAGAUUUGUUGAUGGGAAAGGUUAAAUAUAUGUUUCUAAUGUUACUUUUACGUUUUACUUUAUAUUAUAGUAUAUGUAUAUUGUUAUCUAUAUAAUAUAUAUGUAAUAAUAAUUACUAACCACUAAAUUUUCUUUUGUUUUUAUUAUCUACAAGAUAUGAGCCCGUUGCGUUGCAACGGGUUUUGUUUGAUGUUUUAAUUUAAUAAAAACUAUAAAAUAAUAAAUUAUUUUAUUAUAAUUUUAUGAUUUUGUUUUUUUUUGCAUAAGAAAUUCAAUGAAAAGUAAAAAGAAAUGAAAGUAAAUUACAAAAAUAAAGUCAAUGACAACAUUAUAUAUAUAUUCUUAUGUACUAAUUUAAUAUUUUAUUAAAUAAGUUUAUAAAAAAUUUUACUUUGUUAGGACUUUUUUUAAAAAGGAAAACAUUCUAUUUAAUAUAUCUCCUUCAUAUUUACAAUUAAAAAAAAUAAAAAAUAAUAUUAAAUACUCUUUUAAAAUUUUUUUUAAGAUUUUAGAAAAGAAAAUUACUGUCAUAUAACCUAUUGCAGUUAUCUUCUCUUUAGCAUUUCAGAAAAAUGUAAAUUUCUAUCAAAUAAUUAUUAUUAUUUAUUAAUAAAUAAUUUUAAAUUUACUAUUUUUACAAUUCGUAUCAAUACUAAUUUUACACUUCCACUACAAGAAAACGUUUCAGUAACAACAAAGAUUUACUACGAAAAUACUUCCUCGUAAAUUUGCAAGGUGUUUACAACGCAAUUACGACGAGACCAAAAUUCGUCGUAAACUCCAUGGAACUUUACGACGAAACUGUUUCGUCGUAAAGUCCAUGUAAGUUUAUGACGAAAGUACGUGGAAAGCGAAAAUAGUCGUAAACGUUACAUCGACAUUACAACGAAUCAUGUUACCGUUAUAUUUAGGUGAAAAUGUGUAUUCAGUGUGCUUUAACUUACCUAAAUUCGUUGUAAAUAUGAUAUUAAAACCAUGUAAACUCCAUGUAAAACAUUCCUUGUAAAAUCGUUGUUAUAUUUCAACUACCCAACUCAAAAAUUUCUCUAUAUAUAUAUAUGUCAUUUCUCACAACUCUCUUCCUCACAACACACAAACAGAAAAAAAAAAUCAGCAAAAAAAAAAUUUCAAAAAAAAAAUCUAAGAAAAAAAUGGCCGGUGGCGGUAGUAUGUACGAGUUACGGAGUUGGAUGUAUGCGCACAAAAAUUCCGACGGGAGGGUGACGAACGCAUUUCUGAAUGGGCUAGAGACAUUCAUGCACCAGGCGGGCUGUACACCGAUCACGCAGGAAAGCGGUAAGAUGUUCUGCCCCUGUCGAAAAUGCAAGAAUUCAAAAUUUGCACGUAGUGAAACUGUAUGGAAUCAUUUAGUAAACAGAUGAUUUACACCACAGUACUACAUUUGGUAUCAACAUGGAGAGGGUUAUGGGGGAAAUGAAGCUAGUGGUAGUAAUAAUAAUUUUGAGGAUGCUCAUCAUAAUGAAGAACCGAAUCAUGAGCAAAUGGUAGAUCAUGAUAGGGUUCAAGAUAUGAUUAGUGAUGCAUUUUUAGAAACAACUACAACGAUAGCUGGUGGAACUGGAAAUGUAGAAGAACCUAAUUUGGAUGCAAAAAGAUUUUAUGAAAUGCUAGAUGCUGCAAAUCAACCAAUCUACACUGGUUGUAGAGAAGGUCUCUCUAAAUUGUUUCUAGCAGCUAGGAUUAGGGAUGUUAAUACGGGCUACCCGUACCCUUUUAGGCCCAGCCCGUUUAGACCAUACCCGUUUAAAACCCGUUAACUGCAUGCCCUUUUAACCGCAAACCCGUUAGAGCCCGUUUAGUUAUGAGCCCCUUUGAAUUGGAGAUACCCGUGAGCCCGUUUGUGUUUUUCUUUUCUAAAUACAGUUUAUUUAUUUUUUUAAAUAGAUUUGUUAUUGUUUCUCUCUUUUGCUAUGUUAAUCCUAAGAAACUUAUGAUUAAGGAUGUUAUUUUACAAUGAAUCCAUAAUGCUUACCUUUAUCAGUUUUAAUAUUUAUUAAACUUCUACAUAUGUGUUUGUAACUUGUAAGUUUAACGAAUCUGAAAUCUGAAGUAAAGCAAACAAUUUUUGGAGCUUUACAAUAACAUAUAAUGAAUCUGUUUUAAAACUGUUUUUGAAGGUGAAAGACAACAAAACCGACAAUAUCUGUUCUAGAGCAAACCAACAAAACAGUUUUGCCACCAAACUUGUGUCUGAAAUAAAUAAAAAACUGCAAACCAUAGAGAAACAACUAUGGAUAAACAAGAUAGAAACCAACUUCAUCCUCCUCUCUUAGUCUCAAACCAACAACGAGUUCUCCAUCUACUUGGAGAAUUGCUCUGCAAAGAAAUGACAUUAUUUAUCAGCAUUACGUAAGGAGUUUACAAUGGAGCAUUACACCAAAGUGGUGAAUAACUCUCGGCCAAAGACAAAAAAAUAUCAGAAUUGUACCAUUCUCUAUCUGACUAAACCAAUGCCUAACAAGACAUAACAGUUUACAGUCAAGGCCACAAACACACCUAACAAGACAUAAAAGACAUAACAGUUUACAGUCAAGGCCACAAACACAUGACCUAACAAGACAUAAAAGA